rnacentral:rRNA from 1 species
GACGAACGCUGGCGGCGUGCCUAAUACAUGCAAGUCGAGCGGACGGAUGGGAGCUUGCUCCCAGACCGUCAGCGGCGGACGGGUGAGUAACACGUGGGCAACCUGCCUGUAAGACUGGGAUAACUCCGGGAAACCGGGGCUAAUACCGGAUAACUCUUUCCCUCACAUGAGGGAAAGCUGAAAGAUGGCAUCUCGCUAUCACUUACAGAUGGGCCCGCGGCGCAUUAGCUAGUUGGUGAGGUAACGGCUCACCAAGGCGACGAUGCGUAGCCGACCUGAGGGGGUGAUCGGCCACACUGGGACUGAGACACGGCCCAGACUCCUACGGGAGGCAGCAGUAGGGAAUCUUCCGCAAUGGACGAAAGUCUGACGGAGCAACGCCGCGUGAGUGAUGAAGGUGUUCGGAUCGUAAAACUCUGUUGUCAGGGAAGAACAAGUACCGGAGUAACUGCCGGUACCUUGACGGUACCUGACCAGAAAGCCACGGCUAACUACGUG